CGAACGCUGGCGGCGUGCUUAACACAUGCAAGUCGCCCGGCAAGGCCCUGCUUGCAGGGUACUCGAGUGGCGAACGGGUGAGUAACACGUGGGUGAUCUGCCCUGCACUUCGGGAUAAGCCUGGGAAACUGGGUCUAAUACCGGAUAGGAGCCAUUUUUAGUGUGAUGGUUGGAAAGUUUUUUCGGUGUAGGAUGAGCUCGCGGCCUAUCAGCUUGUUGGUGGGGUAAUGGCCUACCAAGGCGGCGACGGGUAGCCGGCCUGAGAGGGUGGACGGCCACAUUGGGACUGAGAUACGGCCCAGACUCCUACGGGAGGCAGCAGUGGGGAAUAUUGCACAAUGGGCGCAAGCCUGAUGCAGCGACGCCGCGUGGGGGAUGACGGCCUUCGGGUUGUAAACUCCUUUCGCUAGGGACGAAGCUUUUUGUGACGGUACCUAGAUAAGAAGCACCGGCUAACUACGUG
rnacentral:rRNA from 1 species